CUUUGACCUGAACUCAGUCGAGAGCACCCGCUGAACUUAAGCAUAUCAGUAAGCGGAGGAAAAGAAACUAAACAGGAUUCCCCAGUAACGGCGAGUGAACAGGGAAAUGUCCAUCGCUAAAUCAUUUUGUCUCAGGCAUUAUGAGGUGUAGCGUAUAAGCCGUAAUUUUUGAUCUUUUGUCUCAAACAAGUCCCUUGACAGGGGUUCCACAGAAGGUGCAAGUCCUGUACAUUGAGAUAAUUGAUCGAUAUUUGCGUGCUUUAGAGUCGGGUUGUUUGGAUCGCAGCCAAAGUCGGUGGUAAACUUCAUCUAAGACUCAAUAUUGCCACGAGACCGAUAGCAAACAAGUACUGUGAAGGAAAGUUGCAAAGCACUUUGAAGAGAGAGUUAAAGAGGACGUGAAACCGGUGAGGUGGAAACGGAUAGAGUCGGCGUAUCUUUCAAGUAUUCAUUUACAUUAUUUUUAUGUUGUGAUCUCUGAGCUCCAGAUUGGGACAGAGGAAGCAGCAUAAUUUUCUGUGAUGCAUUUACUUGUUUGGUGCUUGGGGAUGUUUGAGGCAGAUUUGUAACCGCCGUUUUGAGGCCAGCUUGCUGGUACCCAAACGGUGUUAGCAUUUUUGUCUUGGGCAUGAUUAUGGCUUACGGGCAUUUGUUGGUUCGAUCUGAGUGUAAGUUACGGUCGCAUGCGACACGUGCUUUUCAAUUAGUUCGGUCCAGUUAAUGCUCUCGUACUCCUUCCCCAUGUAAAAGCCGGUCAUCUAUCCGACCCGUCUUGAAACACGGACCAAGGAGUUUAUCGUGUGCGCAAGUUUUUGGGUGUUAGAAACCUAAAAGCGAAAUGAAAGUAAAUGGCUCUUUAGAGUCUGAUGUGCGAUCUUGUAAAAAAGUGCAGCAUGGCCACAUUCUAACUGUUUACAGUAGGGUGGCGGAAGAGCGUACGCGGUGAGACCCGAAAGAUGGUGAACUAUUCCUGAGCAGGAUGAAGCCAGAGGAAACUCUGGUGGAAGUCCGAAGCGGUUCUGACGUGCAAAUCGAUCGUCUGACUUGGGUAUAGGGCGAAAGACUAAUCGAACCAUCUAGUAGCUGGUUCCCUCUGAAGUUUCCCCCAGGAUAGCUGGAGCUCACGAGUAGUUAUACUCGGUAAAGCGAAUGAUUAGAGGACUUGGGAACGAAAUGUUCUUAACCUAUUCUCAAACUCUAAAUGGGUAUGAUGUCAAAGUUGCUUGAUUUUGAACUUUGGCGUUGAAUACGAGCUCCAAGUGGGCCAUUUUUGGUAAGCAGAACUGGCGAUGUGGGAUGAACCAAACGCGGAGUUGCGGUGCCAAAGUGCCCGCUCAUUAGACCCCAUAAAAGGUGUUGGUUGAUACAGACAGCAGGACGGUGGCCAUGGAAGUCGGAAUCCGCUAAGGAGUGUGUAACAACUCACCUGCCGAAUCAACUAGCCCUGAAAAUGGAUGGCGCUGGAGCGGGCCACCUAUACUCUGCCGUCAUAUGCUUGUAUUUCUGUGAAAGUCUUGCAAUGACGUGUAAGAGGGUCGUAGUGGUUGCGUUGAAGGCUUUGGGUGUGCACCCAGCUGGAGCUUCCACUAGUGCAGAUCUUGGUGGUAGUAGCAAAUAUUCAAGUGAGAUCCUUGAAGACUGAAGUGGAGAAGGGUUCCACGUGAACAGCAGUUGAAUGUGGGUCAGUCGAUCCUAAGGCACCGGCUAAAGCCGUCUAGACACUGCGGGGAGAUGAGAUACUUAACGGUAUUUUGUCCACCCGGUUGCCGAAAGGGAAGUGGGUUAAUAUUCCCACACCAGGCAUGGGAGAUGGUGAUCCGCAAGGAUUACUUUGCGCGGUGACGCAAACGAACUCGUAGACCUCGUGUGGAGUCCGGGCCAGAGUUCUCUUUUCUGGUUUAGAGAUCAUGUCCCUGGAAGUGGCUCAGCCUGAGAUAGGGAUGCUGGUCUCGUAAAGCGCAGCGGUUCCUGUUGUGUCCCGUGUGCUCCACAUGAGCCGUGAAAAUGCGAGGGAGGCAAUUUAAAAUCUCCUGCCUGAUCGUACCCAUAUCCGCAGCAGGUCUCCAAGGUGAACAGCCUCUAGUCGAUAGAAUAAUGUAGGUAAGGGAAGUCGGCAAAUUAGAUUCGUAACUUCGGGAAAAGAAUUGGCUCUAAAGGUUGGGUCAGUCGGGCUGUUGUGUGAAACAGGUGGACUUUGCUCGUGGCUGCUUGCGCUUCCUUUCGGGGCGGCGCUUGUGGACUAGUAGUGAGGACUGCUUGUGGAGUGCUUCAGCUGCGUGCUAUUUCGCAAGAUAUAGUACUUCGAUUGGCGCUGAACAACCAGUUUAGAACUGGCACGAACUCCGGGAAUCCGACUGUCUAAUUAAAACAGAGGAGACGGAUGGUCCUUGCAGGACGUUGACCGUGUCUGAUUUCUGCCCAGUGCUCUGAAUGUUAAGCCAAGGAAACUUGAUUAAGCGCGGGUAAACGGCGGGAGUAACUAUGACUCUCUUAAGGUAGCCAAAUGCCUCGUCGGCUAACUACCGACGCGCACGAAUGGAUCAACGAGAUUCCCACUGUCCCUAUCUACUAUCUAGCGAAACCACAGCCAAGGGAACGGGCUUGCAAAUUUAGCGGGAAAGAAGACCCUGUUGAGCUUGACUCUAGUCUGACUUUGUGAAGAAUCAUGAGAGGUGUAGCAUAAGUGGGAGUCGCAAGACAACAGUGAAAUACCACUACUUUCAUCGAUUCCUUACUUAAUCGGUAAAACGGGAGUUGUGUCUAAGGACCUUCAUUUUUGUUUUAAGACUAGCCACUCGGUGGUUGGUUGACUCGCGCCGAUGACAUUGUCAGGCGGGGAGUUUGACUGGGGCGGUACAUCUGUCAAAUUGUAACGCAGGUGUCCUAAGGCGAGCUCAGAGAGGACGGAAACCUCUCGUUGAGCAAAAAGGCAAAUGCUUACUUGAUCUUGAUUUUCAGUACGAAUACAGACCGCGAAAGCGUGGCUUAUCGAUCCUUUUGAGUUUGUAAAGUUUACAGCAAGAGGUGUCAGAAAAGUUACCACAGGGAUAACUGGCUUGUGGCGGCCAAGCGUCCAUAGCGACGUCGCUUUUUGAUCCUUCGAUGUCGGCUCUUCCUAUCAUUGCGAAGCAGAAUUCGCCAAGCGUUGGAUUGUUCACCCACCAAUAGGGAACGUGAGCUGGGUUUAGACCGUCGUGAGACAGGUUAGUUUUACCCUACUAAAUACUUGUUGCUAUGAUGGUAAUCCUGCUUAGUACGAGAGGAACCGCAGGUUCAGACAUUUGGUUCAUGUGCCUGGUCGAUAGGCCAAUGGCGCGAAGCUACCAUCUGAGGGAUUAUGACUGAACGCCUCUAAGUCAGAAUCCCGCCCAGUCA
rnacentral:rRNA from 1 species